rnacentral:tRNA from 1 species
GCCUGGGUGGCUCAGUCAGUUAAGUGUCUGAUUUCAGCUCAGGUCAUGAGUUCACGGUUCGUGAGUUCGAGCCCCACCUCGGGCU